rnacentral:rRNA from 1 species
AUUGAACGCUGGCGGCAGGCUUAACACAUGCAAGUCGAGCGGAGAUGAGGUGCUUGCACCUUAUCUUAGCGGCGGACGGGUGAGUAAUGCUUAGGAAUCUGCCUAUUAGUGGGGGACAACAUUCCGAAAGGAAUGCUAAUACCGCAUACGUCCUACGGGAGAAAGCAGGGGAUCUUCGGACCUUGCGCUAAUAGAUGAGCCUAAGUCGGAUUAGCUAGUUGGUGGGGUAAAGGCCUACCGAGGCGACGAUCUGUAGCGGGUCUGAGAGGAUGAUCCGCCACACUGGGACUGAGACACGGCCCAGACUCCUACGGGAGGCAGCAGUGGGGAAUAUUGGACGAUGGGGGAAACCCUGAUCCAGCCAUGCCGCGUGUGUGAAGAAGGCCUUAUGGUUGUAAAGCACUUUAAGCGAGGAGGAGGCUACUGAGACUAAUACUCUUGGAUAGUGGACGUUACUCGCAGAAUAAGCACCGGCUAACUCUGUGCCAGCCGCCGCAGUAA